rnacentral:rRNA from 1 species
CACGUAGGGCGCAAGCGUUGUCCGGAAUUAUUGGGCGUAAAGAGCUCGUAGGCGGUCUGUUGCGUCCGCUGUGAAAACCCGGAGCUCAACUCCGGGCCUGCAGUCGAUACGGGCAGACUGGAGUUCGGCAGGGGAGACUGGAAUUCCUGGUGUAGCGGUGAAAUGCGCAGAUAUCAGGAGGAACACCGGUGGCGAAGGCGGUCUCUGGCCGAUGACUGACGCUGGAGGAGCGAAAGCGUGGGAGCGAACAGGAUAGAACCC